rnacentral:misc_RNA from 1 species
GAAAUGCGAUACUUGGUGUGAAUUGCGGAAUCUCGCGAACUCUCGAGUCUUUGAACGCAAGUUGCGCCCGAAGCCAUUAGGUUGAGGGCACACCUGCCUGGGCGUCUCACGUUGCGUCGUCCGCACCCCCUCCCCCCCCUCCCCCGCGAAGGGGGGAAGAAGGGCUGCGAGCGGAUGUUGGCCCCCCAGGCGCGCCCGCGCGCGGUCUGGCCAAAAGCGAGUCCCCCGCGACCGAUGACGCGUCGCGACGAGUGGUGGUUGACAAACCGUUGCGUUGCCUCGCGCGUGUCCGGUCCGUCACGGGAGGCCUGUCGUGACCCUAUCGCGCCGCUGCCAAGGCGCUCCGAUCGCGACCCCAGGUCAGGCAGGAUUACCCACUGAGUUUAA